rnacentral:rRNA from 1 species
CCUACGGGAGGCAGCAGUGAGGAAUAUUGGUCAAUGGGCGUAAGUCUGAACCAGCCAAGUAGCGUGAAGGAUGAAGGCCCUAUGGGUUGUAAACUUCUUUUAUAAGGGAAUAAAAUGAGGCACGUGUGCCGUUUUGUAUGUACCUUAUGAAUAAGGAUCGGCUAACUCCGUGCCAGCAGCCGCGGUAAUACGGAGGAUCCGAGCGUUAUCCGGAUUUAUUGGGUUUAAAGGGAGCGUAGGUGGCGUGUUAAGUCAGCUGUGAAAGUUUGCGGCUCAACCGUAGAAUUGCAGUUGAAACUGGCAGUCUUGAGUAUAGUUGAGGCAGGCGGAAUUCGUGGUGUAGCGGUGAAAUGCUUAGAUAUCACGAAGAACCCCGAUUGCGAAGGCAGCCUGCCAAGCCGUGACUGACGCUGAUGCACGAAAGUGUGGGGAUCAAACAGGAUUAGAUACCCCAGUAGUC